GAUGAACGCUGGCGGCGUGCCUAAUACAUGCAAGUCGAACGAAACUUCUUUAUCACCGAGUGCUUGCACUCACCGAUAAAGAGUUGAGUGGCGAACGGGUGAGUAACACGUGGGCAACCUGCCCAAAAGAGGGGGAUAACACUUGGAAACAGGUGCUAAUACCGCAUAACCAUAGUUACCGCAUGGUAACUAUGUAAAAGGUGGCUAUACUACCGCUUUUGGAUGGGCCCGCGGCGCAUUAGCUAGUUGGUAGGGUAAAGGCUUACCAAGGCAAUGAUGCGUAGCCGAAUUGAGAGGUUGAUCGGCCACAUUGGGACUGAGGCACGGCCCAAACUCCUACGGGAGGCAGCAGUAGGGAAUCUUCCACAAUGGGCGAAAGCCUGAUGGAGCAACGCCGCGUGGGUGAAGAAGGUCUUCGGAUCGUAAAACCCUGUUGUUAGAGAAGAAAGUGCGUGAGAGUAACUGUUCACGUUUCGACGGUAUCUAACCAGAAAGCCACGGCUAACUACGU
rnacentral:rRNA from 1 species